GUUUUUAUGAGCUGCUCAGGCUGGUGAUUAUUCUAUAUAUGAUGUUAUCUGAUCAGCGAAUGGAGUGUGGUGGUUGAGGAAAUUACAGCCAAAACCAACAAAUCUGAUGUCGUCACUUGCACUCCAUCCGACACCCAUAACUUUUCUUUGAGGGUUUGGCGAAGUUUUAAACAGUUAUAUCUAAUGAUUUGGAAAAGGAACUGACUCAUCAGGAUGUUCUAAGACAAAAAAUGUUUGUAUGAGAGUCAUAGGAAUGUGAAACCCUAUGGGGAUGACUUAUCAUUCUAGGGGUUGUGUAAAAUUUGCUGAAGUGUGUUUUUCUGUGGCAAUGUGGACGUAGCAGUGAGAGGACACCCGUAUCCAGUCAUAGACAUACACAGAAAAGUUUAGCAUUGUUCACAUAAUAUGUCUCUCUGCUCGAAGAAUCGUUCUCUUCUAGUGAGGAAUGCCAAGAAAAAGACAUUUCUG